GUCAAGGUAGCUCAGCUGGCUAGAGCGCUGGUCUCAUAAGCCGGAGGUCGAGAGUUCAAGUCUCUCUCUUGACA
rfam:Arcobacter sp. LPB0137, complete genome.